rnacentral:rRNA from 1 species
GACGAACGCUGGCGGCGUGCUUAACACAUGCAAGUCGAACGGUGAAGCUCCAGCUUGCUGGCGUGGAUCAGUGGCGAACGGGUGAGUAACACGUGAGCAACCUGCCCCUGACUCUGGAAUAAGCGCUGGAAACGGCGUCUAAUACUGGAUAAGAGAAGGGUCCGCAUGGGCACUCUGUGGAAAGUUGUUCGGUUGGGGAUGGGCUCGCGGCCUAUCAGCUUGUUGGUGAGGUAAUGGCUCACCAAGGCGACGACGCGUAGCCGACCUGAGAGGGCGACCCGCCACACUGGGACUGAGACACGGCCCAGACUCGUACGGGAAGCAGCAGUGGGGAAUAUUGCACAAUGGACGAAAGCCAUCUGCAGCGACGCCGCGUGAGGGAUGACCGCCUUCGGGUUGUAAACCUCUUUCAGCAGAGAAGAAGCGACAGUGACGGUACCUACAGAAGAAGCACCGGCUAACUACGUG